rnacentral:misc_RNA from 1 species
AACGCACAUUGCGCCCUUUGGUAUUCCGAGGGGCACGCCUGUUCGAGCGUCAUUUAAACCAUCAAGCUCUGCUUGGUCUUGGGCGAGGUCGAGCGACCCGCCCGUAACCCGUUGGCGGUGCAGUCCGGCUUCAAGCGUAGCAAGAAUUUCGCUUUGGGGGUCCGCGACGGCGUCUGCCAGGGAACUAUAUCUAAAGUUUGACCUCGGAUCAGGUGAGGAUACCCGCUGAACUUAA